AACGACUGCUAAGACUGGAUAGGAGACAAGAGGGCAUCUUCUUGUUUUUAAAAGACCUAGCAAUAGGUAUGCUUAGGGAGGAGCUUGCGUCACAUUAGUUAGUUGGUGGGGUAAAGGCCUACCAAGACUAUGAUGUGUAGCCGGGCUGAGAGGUUGAACGGCCACAUUGGGACUGAGACACGGCCCAAACUCCUACGGGAGGCAGCAGUAGGGAAUUUUCGGCAAUGGAGGAAACUCUGACCGAGCAACGCCGCGUGAACGAUGAAGUAUUUCGGUACGUAAAGUUCUUUUAUUAGGGAAGAAUAAAUGAUGGAAAAAUCAUUCUGACGGUACCUAAUGAAUAAGCCCCGGCUAACUAUGUGCCAGCAGCCGCGGUAAUACAUAGGGGGCAAGCGUUAUCCGGAAUUAUUGGGCGUAAAGGGUGCGUAGGCGGUUAAAUAAGUUUAUGGUCUAAGUGCAAUGCUCAACAUUGUGAUGCUAUAAAAACUGUUUAGCUAGAGUAAGAUAGAGGCAAGUGGAAUUCCAUGUGUAGUGGUAAAAUGCGUAAAUAUAUGGAGGAACACCAGUAGCGAAGGCGGCUUGCUGGGUCUUUACUGACGCUGAGGCACGAAAGCGUGGGGAGCAAACAGGAUUAGAUACCCUGGUAGUCCACGCCGUAAACGAUGAGUACUAAACGUUGGGUAAAACCAGUGUUGAAGUUAACACAUUAAGUACUCCGCCUGAGUAGUACGUACGCAAGUAUGAAACUUAAAGGAAUUGACGGGACUCCGCACAAGCGGUGGAUCAUGUUGUUUAAUUCGAAGGUACCCGAAAAACCUCACCAGGUCUUGACAUGCUUCUGCAAAGCUGUAGAAACACAGUGGAGGUUAUCAGUUGCACAGGUGGUGCAUGGUUGUCGUCAGCUCGUGUCGUGAGAUGUUGGGUUAAGUCCCGCAACGAGCGCAACCCUUAUUGUUAGUUACCAGCACGUAAUGGUGGGGACUUUAGCAAGACUGCCAGUGAUAAAUUGGAGGAAGGUGGGGACGACGUCAAAUCAUCAUGCCCCUUAUGACCUGGGCUACAAACGUGAUACAAUGGCUGUUACAAAGGGUAGCUGAAGCGCAAGUUUUUGGCGAAUCUCAAAAAAACAGUCUCAGUUCGGAUUGAAGUCUGCAACUCGACUUCAUGAAGUUGGAAUCGCUAGUAAUCGCGAAUCAGCAUGUCGCGGUGAAUACGUUCUCGGGGUUUGUACACACCGCC
rnacentral:rRNA from 1 species